UUGUGGCUUGCAAAUAGGGACUGCAAAUUUUGUGACUUGCAAAAUAAGUAUCGCAAGUUUUGUUGCUUGCAAAUAAGGUACAGUAAGUUUUGUGGCUUGCAAGUAGGUACCUACUUGCAAUUAUCAAUUUGCAAGUAGGCUUGCAAAUUGAUAAUUGGUUCUGGCUUACCUUUAUGUGGUGUCUAUUGUUAAAAAUUAUUCAUUUUGUUUCGUUAAUGUAAUUUAAAAAUUAAAUUAUUUACUAGAAGCCCAGACAAGAAAUAGUUACAUUUUUUAUUUCAAAAAACUUGUUUUUUGUGUGUGUUUUUUUCUCAGGUUGGAGUGGUUAAUCUGUUCCUUUACAUGAUAAUGUAUACUCAGAUGCAUCUUGUAAUGUGGUUGGAGUGUGUAAUCCGUCUUUUUUCAUGACAAAAUGGUUACUCUGAUGCAUUUUCAAUUGCAAGUUUCCAAAUACAUGCAAAGUAAAUUAAGUAAAGAAAACAAUACUUUUUAAUUAAUUGUUGGCGACAUAGUUCAUUUAUUAAAGUCUUCUGUCACAGUUGACUCAGCAAGAAUGAAGAUAUUGAUACACAUUAUGGAAUACACAAGUUGGCAGUUCCUCGCCCACUGCCACCCAAAUACAGGUAUAAGAAAUCCUUAUCUGUACGUAACAGACGAUGGAGACGAAGUGAUUAUUAUGUGUGGCAAAAGAUUAUUUUAUGAAGUUUUUCAUUUUCUGACUUCGUGAUGGAUCUUAUUGGGGUACACUUUUUUCGGACAUAGGUGGAGUAUUGCCGCUACAAGCAUGAACAAUAAAACAUUCCAAAGAAUAAUUUGUUAUUUUAACGAUUAGAUUUGUUGUUUAAAUGUAUAAAUGCUUGUUGCAUAUUCUUAUUAUACAUCAUCCUAAUUUCAAAA